UAUAAGUUUUGGACUGCUGGUUACAAUCAAAUAAUUACAAAACCUGAUAUUUGAGGUGAUUUGCAUGCACUGAUUUGAGCCCUUAGGUAAAUCAAUCAACAUAACAAAAAAAUCACAAGCCUAUUUUAAUAGUUGAUUAAUCAUCUAAGUAAUUUAUGCUGUUCUAAGUCCAGCUUCUCAAAUAUGAUUUUUUUUCCUUUUCUUUGCUUUGAAUGGCUGUAAAUUGAACAUAAUUCCCAACAUUAUAUAUCCUGUAAAAUUUAUCAAUUAAUGUAAAUAAAUACAAAACCUGAUAUCUGAGGCAAUUUGCACACAGUGUUUACACGGAUUUGAGCCCUUGGGUAAAUCAAUCAUCAUUAAAAAAUAAUAAUCACCAACAAUUAUUGAUAGUUGAAUGAUCCUUUAAGUCAUUUAUGCAGCAAAAAUACCCAAUUCCAGCUUUUCAAAUAUAAAUAAUUUUAUUUUCUUUACUUUGACUGACUGUAAAUUGAACAUCUGUGAGUUUUGGACAGCUGGUCACACCAAAAACUCGCAUUUUCCAACACUGUUUAUCCUGUAAAAUGAAUCAGUUAAUCUAAAUAAAUACAAAACCUGAUAUUUGAGGCUGUUUACACACAUUUCUUCACACUGAUGUGUGUCACUUUGCAGCCCAUGUCAUGCAGCUGUGGCUGAAGGUGACAGAGGUGACAACAAGAGGAUGUUAAUUAAUGGUCCAUAGAGUCGCGUGCAUGAGGUGGGAACACCUGUUUUGGACAAAUGACAGCACGUGCCGUGCGCGAGUCCCAAUAGCUCGUCGGGUCAGUUUUAUUUGGCUAUUUCUGCUCGGCGGGUGGCCGGUUACCGCAACACCAAAAGACACAUUUUCUGACUGUUGUUUGUGCCAAAAGAGACGCACGAAUAGUGAGUUUCAGGCAGAUGGAUGCAGCAGGAAGCCCUCAGUAUAACGCACCCAACCUGCUCUGUUCCGGGUGGAUAAACUUCAGUGACAGUGGCAGCAGGUCUGAUGAACUCGGCAGUCAGCGAGCGGUGAGAUUCCUGGAUAAGCUUGUACUUCAAGGACACAGACUUGAACUGAUGAAAAACAACAAAACAGGAUGAAAAUAACGCUUUUGCAAACAUUUCGUGGACAUUUUUCGACAAAUGGUGACAUCUAGAAGAUUUAUUUUGUCGUGAAGCUUGACUGUAGAUCAAAUAAAUUUGACUGUAUGCUGAUUUGCACCCAUGAUAUUAAUUUUAUCUUAUUUUAAAAGAGAUAAUAACAUGUAUUUAUGAAAAGCUCCACUUAUAGUAUUCUUUAAAAUGUAAUAAGAUCUCAUUUCUUAAGAAGAGGAGUUCCAUGAGCAACAAUUAGCUGAAAAUUGUUUUUUAUUACCAAAAAAUAUUUCUGUCUUAACUCCUCCUCAACCUUAAACGCAGUCAGCUUUAUUUGAGAGCUAUCGCGUUCACCAACGGCUCAAGUGAGCUUUAUUCUGAGCCAAUUUUUCUUCUCCUUUUAUCCAAUAAGUGCCCCACAUUUUCUGUACUUGACAUGUGUCUGCCCGUCAUUGAGUUCCCAUCUAGUAUUACAGGUUU